UGAGAAGUAACAGGGCAUCUACAUGUAUGUACACAGAGUGUGUCAAACGCACAGGAGUCAAGCACCUCCACCUUGGUCACAUGCUCUAUGCCUCCCUCUGGGAGGAUUUCCUCUGCCAGGGGCACUGAUAACUGCAAGUGAUGCAAGGCUCAGAUGUGGGAUGGAUCCAACCUCACACUGGAUCUCAGUCAGUCACCAGCAUUUCAGGCUGGUUUUCUUCAUCUGGGAGAAGGGGAUCACACUUGUCUUCUGGACGUGUCACAGAUGGAUUACCCAAGUGACAGAAGUGGGGAGCAUCACUUCAAACCAUGAGCCCUCCCAGAGCCAGUCCUCUCUCUUCUCCCUCAAUUAUACAAAACCAGAAGAAAAUCCUCUAUUUUUGGUUACAGGCUGAGCAAACAUACCAUUCUAUGUAUCACUAUUGUUGUUGCUACUAUGAUGAUAUUAAAUUUGUACACGACCUCCCUCCAGAAGUUCAGCCACUGCCUUUCUUACUGCAGACCUUUUCAGCACCACAGUCUUAUGACUGGGAACCAGCAUGUGCAGGCUGGUGCCUAUGAGUCCAAUCUUCCCAAUGCUGAGUCAUUGCAAAAGGAACUAACAUUGUCAGCCCACCCAGAGCCUCGGCCGUAAUGGACAGGGUUCUGUUUAGCAACAGGAACGUAUCUGACACAGCUAUAGAAAUUUUUGACAAAGUAUCAUAUUCAGAUCAAAAUGUCUGUGUUCUGCUAACAUUUGCGAAAAUCACACACAGAACACAUCUAUCCCUCUUUCCCGCCUUUCCUUUUCCUUUUCCCCUUCCUUCCUUCCCUCCCUCCUCUCUCCCUAUUUCAGACUAUUUGGAAGUUACCUAAAUGAAAGCUGAAAGUUUUAUUUCUUUUUUUUUUUUUUUUGUAAAUGGUUGUGACUUUGUAGGGUAAAAUGACCCACAGAUGCCCUGGGUGUGAAACAAUAUUUUGGCCUGACACCAAAAGUUAUUAUAAGUGGAAGAAAGGGAAGUGAAGUGAUUAUUCUAGUAUUUUCAUCUGAGUUUCUUAUCCUUUCAAGAUUCCCACAUAAUAUCUGAUUGCUGUUUUAAUGUAUGCAUUAUUUUUUCUCUCCCCUACUUCAAAAUCAGAUUGUAUUGAGAAACAUUUGUGUCUUCAACAGUACAGUACGCACAAAUAAUGACACGGAUUUCCUCCACUCCAAAGUGGAAAAUCCAGGUGACUCUUGUGGUUCUAAUUAUAGUUCUGUGUCUUAAAGGAAAUGAGGUGAAGGGUGUGUGGUCAUAAGGCUUACUUUCGUACCUGCUAUUUCCACUUAGGACUAAAGGAGAUGGUGUUGGAAGGUGUGUCCCAGAUUCAGAAGCAAUGAGGUAAGAGUUGAAGGAAUGCUUUUACACUGAGUAGCAUUUAACAGAUACCAGACUGUCCUAACCCACUGCGUUCAGGAACAAAGUCAGUUCCGAGGCUGAGACUAACCUGAACAUCAGGUGCUUUGCAAUCUAAGAGACAGACGUCCUUUUAUUCCUUCGUUUUAUUUUAUUUUUUUUCUUUGGAGGCAAAUUCUCAGAUGAAGGUGAAAGUAAAAUCAGGAUACUGAAGUUCACACGAACUCUGUUGCAAGAAGUUUUCUGCCAUCCAGUCUAAUUUGGUUAUUCAUCAGAAAGAAGGAAACAGGAAGGAAAGAGAAGUAGUGUGAUGCCCAGACGCACCUGCUGAUCAAAGCCCUCCGGAUACGUUGCACUAGGUUUAUUAAAGCGCAUUGUUCUGCGGUCGGCGCUUGACUGCACAGUUGGAAAAUGCCAUCACUCAUCUUCAGCCUUCCAGCCUCAAGAACAAUGACAUGCAUUUCAAUAAAAGAAGCAGCAACAUUCAUAUGGAAAACAUAUCAUUGUUCCAGUUGGGUUUUUGCUUUUGCUUUCUGAGUUUAACACUGUUGUGAAAGGGAAGCUGCCCUGUGUGUGGAUGGAGCUGCCAACUAGCCAGGAGCCCUGACUUGAAUAUGAACUUUUUAAAAGCCUCUUAUUUCUUCCUCACUUAACAUUUCUACCAUCAGAGCUUUGUGGUGAUUAAGACACUUCUUUUUAUAAGAACACUGUUGAAACUCAUAAAGAGUAGCUGAUAUGAGAACCCCUUCAAAAUUUUCUGACAUUUCAUCAGUUUGGACAUGCUGGCUAAUUAUUUUGUGCUAAGGACCUGUUCCUGAAGAAUUGGCAGUAGAAGCCCUUUACAAGAUUAUCUGCAGGAACCAUGUCAACCUAAAUGUCUUAAGCUGCUGAGAUGGACAUAUUGAGGGUCAUGGGGAAGAAUUAGGGGGACAUUCCAGGACAACAGACUCUAAGUAGCAAGGGGGAGUUAAGGGUGGAGUCCAACACAAACUUCUCCUAUGGAUCAUUUUUGUCAGGACCCCAUGUCUGAGCACAUCUGGCACCCAGUCACCAUUCAGCAUCACUCAGAGAAAUAGACAUAUCAGUGGUUAAUCCUGAUGGGAGUACUGCAGGAGGUUGAUACAAAGAAGGACUCCUCUCCCUGGUACUAAGAGGCAGGAGGUGUCCUGCAACAAGACCAGGAAGGAUACAUAGAAAAGACACAAGGCCAAGGCAAGAGCCAAGCUCAGGCUUGAGGUCAGGAAUGAACAGUAUGGUCCCCAGGACUGUCUGCAUGGGUAGGAGCAGCCAGGCACAGGGACCAUGUGAUGAACCCACAGACUGUGCUCAGCCAAUGAGGUCCCAAACCACCUCACCCUGCACUUUUCUCCAAACUUUCAUGGAAGCUGGUCUUGCUCUAAGACCAUGACCCAUGUCUCUGCCUGGUGGGUGAACACCUGCCAUUUCCUGAGCCUUAAACCCAUGCAAUCUUCCUUAGAUGCUACUUCUAAGUCCACAUCUCCCUGUGUGCUCCUCCUGUACAGUUCUGUCCUGACUUUCUACUGAGCUGCGUGUUGAGAUGAUGGUCUAUGUUUCUGUAUUCUGAUGAAUAAAUAGUGCAGUCACUAUGGAGAACAGGAGGGAGGUUCCUUAAAAAACUAAAAACAACUAUCAAAUGAUCCAUCAAUCCCACUCCUGGGCAUAUAACAGGAGGAAACUCUAAUUUGAAAAGAUACACGCACCCCAACAUUCACAGCAACACUAAUCACAAUAGCCAUGACAUGGAAAUAGCCUAAAUUUCUAUAGGCAGUUGAAUGGACAAAGAAGAUGUGGUACAUUUAUACAAUGGAAUAUUACUUAGCCAUAAAAAAGAAUGAAAUGAUGUCAUUUGUGGAAACUAGGAUAACCUAUAGCUUAUCAUACUGAGUGAAGUAAAUCAGAGAAAGACAAAUAUUACACAUGUAGAAUCUAAAACAGGAUACAAAUGAACUUAUAUACAAAACAGAAAUAGACCACAAACAUAGAAAACAAACUUAAGGUUACCAAAGUGGAAGAGGGGAGGAAUAAAUUAGGAGUUUGAAUUAGCAGAUAAAAACUACAACAUAUAAAAUGGAUAAUCAACAAAGACCUACUACAUAGCACAGGGAAAUUUACUCAAUAUUUUCCAAUAACCUAUAAUGGAUAAUAAUCUGAAAAAGAAUUUAUAUAUAUGAAUCACUUUGCAGUACACUGAAACUAACACAACAUUUUAUUAGCACACACUCUAACCGAGCUAAUCAGCCUGCCAACUAACACAACACUGUAAAUCGAGUAUACUUUAAUAAAGAAAAGAAAAUAAUAAAACAGAGCAGCCUGUUCCUGUGUUCUCCUAUGAGGCGUUCUAAUGAUUCCUGUGACAUCUAAGCUCUCAGAUGCAGGUGAGAUGAAGAACAUAACUGCCCUCCACUCGCUCACAGGCAUUUUUCCUCUUACUCUUUUUGUUUGUUUGUUUCUGAAGCACUAGCAUUUGUCACUUGAGAAGCUCACAGGAGACAGAGGCAGCCAGCCCUGUCGUCCUUUUAUCCUGACAACCAGCUGAACCGCCUGACAGGCCAGAGGCUCAGUGGUGAGCUCCAUCCAACAAGCCAUCUGUGUCACUGGGGAAUUUACCUGGUGGCCAAAACACAAAGCAAAAUGAGAACAAACUCCAGACUGAUUGGUGAUAAUGACUCAGAGCAAAGAGGUUAAUGGAUAUUGUUUUUGUUCUUUUAAUUUUUUUUCCCCCAUGAGUCCUACAAGCCCAGCCCCAUGGCUGUAAAUAGUACAAUUUGACAACACCACCAUAUGUUACCAGAGAGGCCUCGUCAGGAACACAGCACCACAUUCAAAACAGGAUACACUCGGUUGGUAUUCCUUGGUCUGCAUGUGGCCCCUUGCCUUUCCUCCUGAGGGGCUUUAUUUGCAAUUGGCACAGAGAUCUAUAUACUUACAGAUAUCAGGGUUGGGGAAAUAGUAUGGUCCUUUGGUGCACGAUCACGCUAAUAUAAAUUCUAAGCCUCUGGGAAAGCAGUGGGCAGACAAGACUGAGCACCCAUCUUACAGCUAUCAAGGACAAUCCCUCCCACAUCAAAGGAAGAACUGGGACAUCUGAAAAUGGGAUCAAGUGGCUCUAAGGAUGGGUUAGAACAUCUCAGAUAAUUGGAGAUAAUCUGGUGAAGAGUUUAGGUGAGUGUAUGAUUUACAAAACUCAGUGUGCUUACAAAUCUAAACUUAGAAUCUAAAAACGGUAAUUUCCAAAACUCAAUGUGCUUACAAAUCUAAUCUUAGAAUCUAAAAACGGUUUGCAGUCCCCAGUUAAGGGAUGUGCCCACCUCACAUAAUUUCUCUAAAGGAGUUCCAUCUUGUCAUUUAUAAAAUGGAGAGGAUUAAGUGAAGAAGAUAAUGCAUACAUCCUACAGGCCAAAGAGCUUCCAAGCAGUUAGCCCUGGUGAAUGUGAGCUGUUUGGGACAACCACAUAGCAUCCUUCUCACUUCUCUGAUCAAAGCUAUGAUUCACACUGUAAUUGCAGUUUCAUAAAAACUAAGGCAAUAUGCCACAUAAACACUUUGGUCCACAGUCACCAUACUGAUGAGGAUAUAAGACAAAUUAGCAGCAAGCACAUUUUGAGUUCCUAGGUGAAAUGUAUACAAAGUCCUAACACAUUUUGUCAAAUUUGUCAUAAUAUUCUCCUAUAGAGCAUAAACAG
rnacentral:lncRNA from 1 species